rnacentral:tRNA from 3 species
GCCGCUUUAGCUCAGUUGGUAGAGCAGCUGUCUUGUAAACAGCAGGUCGUCCGUUCGAUUCGGACAAGCGGCACCA